rnacentral:rRNA from 1 species
GUUGAACGCUGGCGGCAGGCCUAACACAUGCAAGUCGAGCGGAUGAAGGGAGCUUGCUCCUGGAUUCAGCGGCGGACGGGUGAGUAAUGCCUAGGAAUCUGCCUGGUAGUGGGGGAUAACGUCCGGAAACGGGCGCUAAUACCGCAUACGUCCUGAGGGAGAAAGUGGGGGAUCUUCGGACCUCACGCUAUCAGAUGAGCCUAGGUCGGAUUAGCUAGUUGGUGGGGUAAAGGCCUACCAAGGCGACGAUCCGUAACUGGUCUGAGAGGAUGAUCAGUCACACUGGAACUGAGACACGGUCCAGACUCCUACGGGAGGCAGCAGUGGGGAAUAUUGGACAAUGGGCGAAAGCCCGAUCCAGCCAUGCCGCGUGUGUGAAGAAGGUCUUCGGAUUGUAAAGCACUUUAAGUUGGGAGGAAGGGCAGUAAGUUAAUACCUUGCUGUUUUGACGUUACCAACAGAAUAAGCACCGGCUAACUUCGUG